rnacentral:rRNA from 1 species
UGGGGAAUAUUGGACAAUGGGCGAAAGCCUGAUCCAGCAAUGCCGCGUGUGUGAAGAAGGCCUUCGGGUUGUAAAGCACUUUGAUCUGGGAAGCGGUACCAGAGGAACAAGCACCGGCUAACUCUGUGCCAGCAGCCGCGGUAAUACAGAGGGUGCGAGCGUUAAUCGGAUUUACUGGGCGUAAAGCGUGUGUAGGCGGUUCGUUAAGUCGGAUGUGAAAGCCCUGGGCUCAACCUGGGAAUUGCAUUCGAUACUGGCGAGCUAGAGUACGGUAGAGGGCGGCGGAAUUCCGGGUGUAGCGGUGAAAUGCGUAGAUAUCCGGAGGAACACCGAUGGCGAAGGCAACCGCCUGGGCCUGUACUGACGCUGAGACACGAAAGCGUGGGGAGCAAACAGGAUUAGAUACCCUAGUAGU